GACGAACGCUGGCGGCGUGCUUAACACAUGCAAGUCGAGCGGUAAGGCCCUUUCGGGGGUACACGAGCGGCGAACGGGUGAGUAACACGUGGGUGACCUGCCCUCAGCUCUGGGAUAAGCCUGGGAAACCGGGUCUAAUACCGGAUAUGACUCCAUGACGCAUGUUGUGGGGUGGAAAGCCUUGUGCGGCUGAGGAUGGGCCCGCGGCCUAUCAGCUUGUUGGUGAGGUAACGGCNCACCAAGGCUUCGACGGGUAGCCGGCCUGAGAGGGCGACCGGCCACACUGGGACUGAGAUACGGCCCAGACUCCUACGGGAGGCAGCAGUGGGGAAUAUUGCGCAAUGGGCGGAAGCCUGACGCAGCGACGCCGCGUGGGGAUGACGGCC
rnacentral:rRNA from 1 species